rnacentral:rRNA from 1 species
AGCAGCCGCGGUAAUUCCAGCUCCAAUAGCGUAUAUUAAAGUUGUUGCAGUUAAAAAAGCUCGUAGUUGAAUUUCGGGGGUCAGUAGGUUGGUCAUGCCACUGGCAUGUACUGGUCUCACUGAUUCCUCCUUCCUGAUGAACCGUAAUGCCAUUAAUUUGGUGUUGCAGGGAAUCUGGACUGUUACUUUGAAAAAAAUUAGAGUGUUUAAAGCAGGCUAACGCCUGAAUACAUUAGCAUGGAAUAAUGAAAUAGGACGUUCGAUCCUAUUUUGUUGGUUUCUAGGAUUGACGUAAUGAUUAAUAGGGAUAGUUGGGGGCAUUAGUAUUCAAUCGUCAGAGGUGAAAUUCUUGGAUUUUAUUGAAGACUAACUACUGCGAAAGCAUUUU